ACGGCCAUACCAUGCUAAAUAUACCACUUCUCGUUAGAUCACCGAAGUCAAGCAUCAUUGGGCGCGGUCAGUACUUGGGUGGGUGACCACCUGGGAACACCGCGUGCCGUU
rnacentral:rRNA from 1 species